AUUGAACGCUGGCGGCAUGCUUUACACAUGCAAGUCGAACGGCAGCGCGGGCUUCGGCCUGGCGGCGAGUGGCGAACGGGUGAGUAAUACAUCGGAACGUGCCCAGUAGUGGGGGAUAGCUCGGCGAAAGCCGGACUAAUACCGCAUACGACCUGAGGGUGAAAGCGGGGGAUCUUCGGACCUCGCGCUAUUGGAGCGGCCGAUGGCAGAUUAGCUAGUUGGUGGGGUAAAGGCCUACCAAGGCGACGAUCUGUAGCUGGUCUGAGAGGACGACCAGCCACACUGGGACUGAGACACGGCCCAGACUCCUACGGGAGGCAGCAGUGGGGAAUUUUGGACAAUGGGCGAAAGCCUGAUCCAGCAAUGCCGCGUGUGUGAUGAAGGCCUUCGGGUUGUAAAGCACUUUUGGCGGGAACGAAAAGGACUGUGCCAAUACCACGGUUCGAUGACGGUACCCGCAGAAUAAGCACCGGCUAACUACGUG
rnacentral:rRNA from 1 species